CCUACGGGUGGCAGCAGUGAGGAAUAUUGGUCAAUGGACGCAAGUCUGAACCAGCCAUGCCGCGUGCAGGAAGACGGCUCUAUGAGUUGUAAACUUCUUUUGUACGAGAGUAAACGCAGAUACGCGUAUCUGUCUGAAAGUAUCGUACGAAUAAGGAUCGGCUAACUCCGUGCCAGCAGCCGCGGUAAUACGGAGGAUUCAAGCGUUAUCCGGAUUUAUUGGGUUUAAAGGGUGCGUAGGCGGUCGGAUAAGUUAGAGGUGAAAUCCCGAGGCUCAACUUCGGAAUUGCCUCUGAUACUGGUAGGCUAGAGAGUAGUGGCGGUAGGCGGAAUGUAUGGUGUAGCGGUGAAAUGCUUAGAGAUCAGACAGAACACCGAUUGCGAAGGCAGCUUACCAAGCUACGUCUGACGUUGAGGCACGAAAGCGUGGGGAGCAAACAGGAUUAGAUACCCGGGUAGUC
rnacentral:rRNA from 1 species